CACCACGCCUGGCCUAGCGGGGCCUGUACCUGGGGGUCCGAGAGGCUGUCUCUGAUGCUGGGAGGGCCGGGGCUGCGGCUGGGGAGGGGGCAGGGGGGCCUCUGGGAGGAGGCGGAGGCGGUGGAGGGGGUGGAUGGCUGGGCGGAGAGCCGGGGCGACACUCGUCGCGGCGGGGGGGGGGGGACCGGGGAGCCGCGCCUGGCGGAGGUGGACGGGGCUGCGGCGGGAAGAACAGCGGGGCGACCCCUUUGCUGCCGCCGCGGGGCCCGAUUAGCGCCUUCGAAGGGACCGUGUUGCGGCCCGGCGCGGAGGGAGCGGCCCGUCCGCUUCCUGGUGGCCGAGCUCCGCGUUCCUGCCGGCGAAAGCCAAGACAAAAGGUUCGAACGAUCUCUUCUCUUCUUCUGUGGACGCAAGAGAUAUGUUUAUAUUUUGAGGAAGAUUCUGACUAAUGCAAGUUAUGCUUUCAUACUAGAAAAGAACAAACAGGCAGAAAUGGGAAGAAAAGACUUGUGUUCCAGUGCUGCUGCCUUUUGUAUGAUGCAUUCAAAGGAGUGUAGAGCAAAAGGUAAUGAUUCAGUGUAUUUGCAUACCUACAUUUGACUUUUCAGUCUAGUAGUAGCCACUACACAAUUGUCUGUACAGAUUAUUUUUGCUCUUGUAUGUAUGGAAUACAAAAAGCAAAUAGAAAUAAGGGCAGUUUUGAUAUGUUUGUAAUGGAUAUUGCUUUUAUCUUAAGUUUCCCACUUGGUUAAAUCUUGACUUAACUGAAAAAAUGUAUUAUUGCGAUUUUUAGUGUUUCAUUAGAGGGAAGAAAAUUAGCAUGUCUUAGUAAUACUAACCCACCAAACUCAUUUUGUUUAGAAAGUUAAGCUCUAGGACUGUUCAAAAAUACAUAUCCUUAGUCAUCUAUGCAUAUAAAUUUUAAGUGUUUUGUUACAAGCUUUUUCUACAGAAUCAUUGCCUUGUUUCCAGGUUUGAGGCCAAUUAAAAAUUGAUGUUGAAGGGCAAUAAUGCAUCUGGCAGUUAUUAACUUCUGAAUGUCUGUCCUUGCAAAGUAGUUUUCUUUUCAUAUAAUAUAUUUAUAUGCUAUAUCUACUUUAAGAUUGUAUUAUUUUCAGUGGCAUGCAAGCAGUAAAGUCUUACAUGCUCAGAAAAGCUGAAAAUUAGAAUUGUUAUUAAUCGCUGUAAAGAUUUCAUGGCUCUUGUCCUAUCUCAUCAUCAGUCAGUAUUUAAAAUGACAGACAAAUUUGUUGAAUGUUAAUGUUUUCUGAAUCGAUUUCUGCUCCCAGCAGACCAGGAAUCCAACACUUCAUGUUGUCUGUAAAAGUAAUGUGUGUAUUUAUCAGAUCCUGUUCUUCCUGCCUAGUAUAAGAUUGAUUGGCUCUGACAUUGUUCUAACUUUUGAGAUAAAUGGUAGAGGAGCAUAAUGUGAUGCUGCUUCAUGUCACUGUCAGAAAAAUUACCACAAGUCUUGUGGGUUAAGAUUCAUUUGUUAUUAACUCCAAGAACUCAUGGAGGAGGUGUAAGUUUCAAAGUAGCCAAUUUAGGGGGGGAAAGAAGGGCAUAAAUGUGUAAUCCAAAUUUCAGCAACUGGGAAAGUCCUAGAACAACAGCAGCAAAACACUGUAGCACUGUAGACCAUAACAGGUGGAUGACAGUCUGUAGGAGCCAGAACAGAUUUGUUGAGAACAAAGCACGUCAGACCAGUUAAAUCUUCUCUAACACCUGCUUCUUCCUGUCUGCCCACAAGACCUGUUACCCUGUCAUAGAUCUCCACCUAGCAAAGCUUUUAAUAUCCUCUCAAAGGAACCUUUCACAAGAAGUGACAUAAGUUAAACAGCUGGCGAGAGGAUACAAACUUGUACUUGGCGUGGUUCAUGUGAUCUAGUUUCAAAAUAAAAGAUUGAUGUAGUGCAUGCACAGUGCUUUGUUUUGAACCUUUAGCUAUUUAUUUUCAUCCUGACAUAGGAUUUUCCCACUUGAUUGAGCAGGUGACAUCAGCCUGUAAACAUGUUGAAAGAUGUUACGUGUAGAAUUCAUUGUGACAUUGCUGAAUUACUCUGAAGACCAGUGCGAGGAGCCCUGCUGGGAAUGGUGAACGCUGUGCCCCGCCGGGUAAAUACAGAGGAAACGUUGACGAACUGGAGAGCCGGUGGGGACAGAAGGAUGGAUGGCCAGAGGGCUUGGUCUUUGAGGGAAGGUUACCUGAACCUGAAGAUUACCUGCGCAUCUUGAAGAACGGUAACGCCGGUGAGAAGUUUCGAUGCCCUUAAAUCCACGGAUGUGGAGCAGCUGCCAAGGAGGUCGCGCGUUUCCCGGCUGCCCUCUUGUGAGCGCCCGCGGUAGCGGUGCCAAGAGAUAACUUCGAGCUGGACAUCAGGUGGAACAUCACGGCGGGGCGGGCUGCGUGCUCCGCAGCACCGGGACUCCGGGGCCCAGGUUUGGCGCCGAGGUCUGCCAUGGCUUCCUUCGGCUUCCAGGGCGGCGGCAGCUCUAAGAAGGAGGAGAAGGGCAAGAACAUCCAGGUGGUGGUGCGGUGCAGGCCUUUUAAUGCCUCAGAACGUAAAGCAAGCUCCUACCCUGUUGUAGACUGUGAUCAAGCAAGAAAGGAAGUUAGUGUCCGCACUGGAGGAGUGACAGAUAAGACAUCAAGAAAGACUUACACAUUUGAUAUGGUUUUUGGAGCUCAAGCAAAGCAAAUUGAUGUAUACCGGAGUGUUGUGUGUCCCAUUUUGGAUGAAGUUAUUAUGGGCUACAACUGUACAGUGUUUGCUUAUGGCCAAACUGGUACCGGUAAGACCUUCACAAUGGAAGGGGAGCGGUCACCCAAUGAGGAAUAUACUUGGGAAGAGGAUCCACUGGCAGGUAUAAUACCCCGUACAUUGCAUCAAAUAUUUGAAAAACUCACGGAGAAUGGUUCCGAAUUUUCCGUCAAAGUCUCUCUUUUGGAAAUCUAUAAUGAGGAGCUUUUUGAUCUUCUGAAUCCUACUCCUGAUGUUGGAGAAAGACUGCAGAUGUUUGAUGAUCCUCGAAACAAGCGGGGUGUAAUUAUUAAAGGCUUGGAAGAAAUAACUGUACACAACAAAAAUGAAGUCUACCAAAUCCUGGAAAGGGGUGCAGCAAAAAGAACUACUGCAGCUACUUACAUGAAUGCAUAUUCCAGCCGUUCCCACUCUGUGUUUUCUAUUACCAUCCACAUGAAAGAAACAACAGUAGAUGGAGAAGAACUUGUUAAAAUUGGAAAGCUAAACUUGGUUGAUCUUGCAGGAAGUGAAAACAUUGGUCGAUCUGGGGCGGUUGACAAAAGAGCUCGUGAAGCUGGAAAUAUCAACCAGUCUCUCCUGACACUAGGAAGAGUUAUUACUGCUCUAGUAGAAAGAGCCCCACAUAUUCCAUACAGGGAAUCCAAACUCACAAGAAUCCUUCAAGACUCUCUUGGAGGACGAACAAAAACAUCAAUAAUUGCCACAGUUUCUCCUGCUUCUAUAAGUCUUGAGGAAACCCUGAGUACGCUAGAAUAUGCCCACAGAGCAAAGAACAUAAUGAACAAGCCUGAAGUUAAUCAGAAGCUAACAAAAAAAGCUCUUAUUAAGGAAUACACUGAAGAGAUUGAGCGUCUGAGGCGAGACCUUGCUGCUACACGAGAGAAGAAUGGAGUCUAUAUUUCUCUUGAAAAUUAUGAAGCUCUUAAUGGAAAGCUGACAGUUCAGGAAGAGCAAAUUGCAGAGUAUAUUGACAAAAUCAGCAUCAUGGAGGAAGAAGUGAAAAGAAUCACUGAAUUAUUCACAGUUAAUAAAAAUGAACUGGAACAGUGUAAAACAGAUCUGCAAAUCAAGGAGAAAGAAUUGGAAGAAACCCAAAAAGAUCUGCAAGAAACAAAGAUUCAUCUGGCUGAAGAAGAAUAUGUGGUUUCAGUUUUGGAAAACACUGAACAAAACCUUCAUGGCACAGCUAGCAAGUUACUUAGUACAGUUGAAGAAACUACGAAAGAUGUAUCUGGUCUCCAUGCAAAACUGGACCGUAAGAAGGUUGUUGAUCAACACAAUGCUAUCGUCCAAAAUACAUUUGCAGGACAAAUGAAUGAUUUGUUCAACAAAAUACAAGAUUCAGUUAGUGAAAACAGUUUGAAGCAGCAACAGAUGUUGACAUCUUACACUAAUUUUAUAGGUGACCUCCUGUCUACCAGUUCUUCAGCAGCUAAUAUUCUUGCAUCAGUUGUAUCAGCAUCUUUUGCCUCUGUUAAAGAAUUGGUGUCUACUGAAGUUUCUCACAUGUCCCGAAAAAUAAUACAACAUGAGAAUCUGUCACUUGAUUGUAAAGCUGAGCUGCUGAGAUUAAUUGAGGAACAUACAUCCGGAUUAGGAAGAGCAUUAAAUAGCUUGACACCAAUGGUAGAAUUUGUCUUGGGGCUAAACGGUCAGUUUCAGAAUAACAUGAAGAAAUAUUCUGUUGUGUCUGACAAGAUGGAGGGUCAUAAAAAGGAAAUGGAUACCUUCUUCGAAGAUCUUUCUCUCACUCUGAAAAAAUUACGGGAAGAAACAGCCAAUGUUUUUGCUCAGCUUCAGAAUGAUUGUGAGAAUUUAAAAGAAGAAGUGGAAAUGACGAGGUCGGCACAUACAAAGAGCGCAGCUCAAUUGAUGUCCUCACUGCAAAGCCAGCUUGACCUUUUUGCUCAGGAGACUCAGAAGAACUUAACUAGUGUACUCGCAAAAAAUGGAAGCUUGAAGACCACCAUCUCCACUGUGCAAGAAAACGUUCACCUGAAAACUACAGACCUAGUCAGCAGUGCGGCUUCCAAUCACAGCAAAUUUAUUGCAUCUCUGGAUAAUUUCUCUCAAGACCUCAGGACCACAAAUGCUGAAAACAAGAUGAUGCUGGAAAAAUCCACUGACCACUGUCAUCAACUACUCACCAAUCUCACAAAUGUGUCUCAGGACACUGAUAAAUGGGGUGAAAUUACAACUGCUCAGAUAGUCGACUUUACCAAUCAGCAGCUAUUGUCCUUCAGUGAUGAGAAACAGCAACUUGAGUGUUUACAAAAGAAAAAUGAAGGCAACUGUGAUACAGCCACAGCUGAAAUUGCCGACCAUAUUAGUAGACAAAAAGCUGCUGAGAAGAAGGUACUAAAUGGCCUUCUUGAGCAGAUAAAGGUUGAUCAGGAGAUACUUCUGAAGCAGAAGCUGACACUUAAUGAGGCAGCAGAGCGUGCACUGACUCAGGUUAAUGAUUUCCUGCAGGAGGAUCUUAAAGUGGAUGUUCCAACAGGUAUUUAAAGUGCAUGCGGAGAAUGAUGACUGAACAAAGCGUGACUUUGUUGAGUUGAUGUAAAAUUGAGGAUCUGUAAUUAAAGCAAAUGCUGGAAAGUGUUUAAUAGUGCCUUUCAUUUGUGUACAAUCUUCAUUAAAGGAGCAACUCCACAGAGGAAAGACUACUUCUAUCCAGUCACACUUGUGAGAACAGAACCCCGGGAACUUCUGCUGGAGCAAUUAAGGCAAAAUCAACUAAAGCUUGAUAUGGCAAAGGAGGUGGAGGAUAAUAUAGAUCAGGACCUGUUGGAAGAGGAAGAAGGGUUGCAAGAAGCAAGUGAAAGCCUUGCUGGUGACAAAUCCUUAGUGGAUACAAACAUGUGCUGCCAAGCAAAUGGUGGCAUUCCCUUUUUCCAGCACAAAAGGAGUCACAAAAAGGAUAAAGAGAACAGAUCUGCAGCUACAAUGGAGAGCAAAAUAGAGGAUAUGACGGAACAGUUUCUUCCCAAAUCUAAGCCUCCUUUAAGAUCACUGAACUAAGAUAUACCCACUGCAAAUCCCUGUUUUGAAAUACUUAUGUUUAAUUCUCUACUGAGCCAUAACUUUCGUUAUUCUCGGUCUCUGUAUAUAGUGAUAUAUUGAUGCAAAGUUGGAUCAAAAGAUUGACCUGCUGGAUGUCCUGCCUUUGUCCCAUUUUUAUAUGCUACAGCUUGCAAAGUAUUAACAGACUUUUCUUAAAAAGCAGAAGAAAAAAAAAAAAAGGCAGAUUAUGGUGCUGUAUGUUAAAUAGACUUUUAUGUUGUCAAGUAAGAGAUCCUUUUCUCAGUAGAUUUAAAACAGUUGAAAGGGAUGAGGUAAAAUGCUUUGUCAGCAUUACCAGCUACCAUUUUAUAUUUUGAUUGACUGUAAAUAGUGUUUUGGUUUUGUACCUGCUUUCUAGUUUGAUUCCUGUUUUUAUGAAGUAGCUGAUUUUUGACUGGGAUACUUCAAAUAAAUCAUUGAUACAUGGAAAACAAA